CAAUACAUAUAUAGAAAAUGCUGCAAUAGUCUUGGUAAUCUCAGUUAAUGGUAAUCAUCUUGCCUCAUUUCUUUACCCUCUUAUCUCUGCUGUUUUGAAUAUUCAGCUUCCUCUUUUUUUUCUGCCAGAUGUUUGUUUCCAUCUUGCCUCGAAGUCUGAGUUCAUAUCUCUGUUUUCUCUUCACUUCUCAUUGGGUGCGUAGCAAGAGGCGCGGCCUCUUUCGAUUCUUUCCUCGCUUCUGUCUUUCGCUCCUCUGCAUGUUACAUGGUACCCACCCCGACUUUCGGAUGACUUGAAAAGUUGUGCAGAGUUCAUCUUGACUGCUUCGUCCAAACUACUUACUGCAAAGAUGAAAGCGGCUCAACCAACACAACAUGCCUGGUCCUGCUGUUCAUGUUCUUGAUCCUGUUCCUCCUACUGGUGUACCUGUACUGGCGUCUGAACCGUGACAGCGAUGGCCAGUACACCGUUCGCAAGAUCGUGCUCGACGAGGGAGGCCUCCGUGACCAAAUUAGGUCAGGGGUCAUUGCCGUGGAGACCAGACUGGGUGUCCACCUGUGGCCCAGGCCUAGGGAUGAGGAGGAAGCUGUGGAAGAUGGAGAGCAGGCGAGGGAGAGGGAUGUGGAUGUGGAAAAAAGACAGAGCCAGGCAGACAUGCGUGAUGAGGGAGAGGAGGAGGUUCAGUGCAAACACAAGGAUGAAGAAGACGAGAGCUCAGAGGAUGACUACUCGAGCAUGGAUGGAGGAGACCUUCGAGAACGCGCCAGACUGAUGAAGGACAUGGAUGAGGAGGAGAGGAGAGGAGAAGGGGAAGGACAGGAAGAUGAGCCAGAGAAUGGGAGAAAGGAGGUGGUGGAGGAGGAGGAGGAGGAGGGGAAGAAUGGUGAAGGCCUGGGCUUGCUCGUCAACCUUCAGGAGUUUUCAGGCAGCGCCAUUUGGUCAGGGAAGGAGAAGGAUGAGAGCGAGGACAUUGAUCUGACCGCUCUGUGAGAAGAGAAGAAGAGAGGGAGAGAGAGAGAGGGGGAGAGGGAGAGGGAGAGAGGGAGAGAGAGAAUUCAAUUUCCUAUUUGGCCGAAUAAACAUUUUGUUAUGUGUACCUUUGUAUACAUGUGGACAUUCCAUUUAUCUGUGAAAUAUACAUGAGUAUUGGUAGCUUUGGGAUAGCUGUGGUACCUCAUGGGUAAUUUUAAAAAGUUAGAAAAUGUUUUAUUCCUACACCCACAUCUCUUCAUGAUCUCUUAUGGGUUCUAGAAACUGACCUGUAAGGAGAGACAUCAAUUUUAUACAGAAAACAACAAAGAGGAAACCCUUAAGGAGUCAAGAUUUCCCAGAAAAUAUGGUUACAAAUGUUCUUUCUCUUGUCCAUGUAGAACACAAGCCCUCAGGGAUUUUACGUAAAGCUACCUACUCUGAUGCAUCUGUCUUUGUAAAGGCCAGCUCAAUUAUCAGAUAAUUGUCAGUUCUCAUCUUAAAACAUUCUCAGGUUUAUAUUCAAAGGUACUUGUACUGGUCUGUCUCCAUGAGAGAACACUUAAACUUAACUUAAAAGCCUCUUUGUUGGUUAGGUUUCGGUUGGCUAUUUGUUUUAUUCAUGUUUUUAGCAAUGUUCAGCAUUCUUUCAUAUUUGUAUUCAUUUUUUCAACAAUGUUCAUCAUGUGGUCUUUUUAAGUGUUCGCGUAUGGGCUCAAGCUAGAAUUCAACUUAAUUUCACAAUUCACAGACUGAUUAAAAUAUCUCCUCUGUAGAAAUGGAGGUCAGCCUGAGUAUGCUGUUAAAUGAAAUCCACUCUAUGUUUACUGUUUUCUGGGCUAAAGUUGGUCUGCAUGAUGUUCAACUGUAACUGACAGAGAUAAUGUGAAACUGUUUAACAGUCUAUCCAUAAUGUGUACCUUAGCUAAACCUGACUUGCUUGUAAACAGAAUUUAAGAAAGUCUAUGACAUAACCGAAUAGAAAGGAGACGAGUUAAAAUAACAGAAGCUUAAAGGUUUUGUGUUUUCAGUUGAUGCAUUGUAAGGAAAAGUUGUACAGGCUUGUGGACAUUCUUAGUUUAAUAUCACUUAUAAACUAGCGGGUAUGUCUUAUUGCUAACCUGUUGUAUUUUUUUUUCUUGUAAUUAAAGGCUUUUGCUUGCUG
ensembl:lncRNA